rnacentral:rRNA from 1 species
UACGUAGGGUGCAAGCGUUAAUCGGAAUUACUGGGCGUAAAGCGUGCGCAGGCGGCUUUGCAAGACAGAUGUGAAAUCCCCGGGCUCAACCUGGGAACUGCAUUUGUGACUGCAUGGCUGGAGUGCGGCAGAGGGGGAUGGAAUUCCGCGUGUAGCAGUGAAAUGCGUAGAUAUGCGGAGGAACACCGAUGGCGAAGGCAGCCCCCUGGGUCAAGAUUGACGCUCAUGCACGAAAGCGUGGGGAGCAAACAGG